rfam:Nosema apis BRL 01 unplaced genomic scaffold scf7180000046839, whole genome shotgun sequence.
GGUAACGUGGCCGAGCGGUUAAGGCGGUGGACUUAAGAUCCAUUUAUCAUCAGAUAGCGUGGGUUCGAUCCCCACCGUUACCA